rnacentral:rRNA from 1 species
UACGGAGGGUGCAAGCGUUAAUCGGAAUUACCGGGCGUAAAGCGUGCGCAGGCGGUUUGGUAAGUCUGUUGUGAAAUCCCCGAGCUCAACUUGGGAAUUGCAAUGGAUACUGGCAGGCUGGAGUAUGGUAGAGGAAGGUGGAAUUCCUGGUGUAGCGGUGAAAUGCGCAGAUAUCAGGAGGAACACCGAUGGCGAAGGCAGGUCUCUGGGCCGAUACUGACGCUGAGGAGCGAAAGCGUGGGGAGCGAACAGG